rnacentral:rRNA from 1 species
UAGGGAAUCUUCCGCAAUGGACGCAAGUCUGACGGAGCAACGCCGCGUGAGUGAAGAAGGAUUUCGGUUCGUAAAACUCUGUUGUUAGAGAAGAACAGCGCAUAGAGUAACUGUUAUGCGUGUGACGGUAUCUAACCAGAAAGCCACGGCUAACUACGUGCCAGCAGCCGCGGUAAUACGUAGGUGGCAAGCGUUGUCCGGAUUUAUUGGGCGUAAAGCGAGCGCAGGCGGUCAAUUAAGUCUGAUGUGAAAGCCCCCGGCUCAACCGGGGAGGGUCAUUGGAAACUGGUUGACUUGAGUGCAGAAGAGGAGAGUGGAAUUCCAUGUGUAGCGGUGAAAUGCGUAGAUAUAUGGAGGAACACCAGUGGCGAAGGCGACUCUCUGGUCUGUAACUGACGCUGAGGCUCGAAAGCGUGGGUAGCUAACAGG